GUCGAAGGUGGGGCUGAUGACUGGGGUGAAGUCGUAACAAGGUAUCCGUACCGGAAGGUGCGGAUGGAUCACCUCCUAACAGGGAGACAAAACAAUGAUUUUGAUGUCUGAGUAUUUUAUUCUUAGGCCGAAAUCCUGUCACCUUAGGUCGAUCGGUACCUCAACAUUUUUCCAAAGAUUGGUGAGCAAUCAUCAAGAGAUUGGAAGUGAUGUUCAGUUCCUAAACUUUGUCUAGGUCACACCCCGUAAGGGAAGAGUCCCCUGGGCCAUUAGCUCAGGUGGUUAGAGCGCACCCCUGAUAAGGGUGAGGUCCCUGGUUCAAGUCCAGGAUGGCCCAUCGAUGUUGGGGGUUUAGCUCAGUUGGUAGAGCGCCUGCUUUGCAAGCAGGAUGUCAGGAGUUCGAGUCUCCUAACCUCCACUGACAGAACUCAAUCUCCAUUGUCCGGUAACUCGGAGGAUGAACUCGAUGGCGUGUGAUUUAGAUGUGUCCACUAGAUAGGACCCUAGCUUCCUGUCAUUCCGAACAAGUAAUUAUUGCUUGAUUGGUUGAUAUGAUGCUGGGCUCAGAUUAAUCGAAAGGUUAAUUUGAUCUCUAGUAGAACCUUGACAACUGCAUAAGUAAGUCUGGAAAAACGAAGCAUCUUACAGAUGCAUUGUUUUAAGUCUGAAUUCUCGAAAGAGAGUUUAGAUCUAGAAUGAUGAAAAUUCUUUUAAGCAAGAGCCGAGACUCUUAAAUGUUCUUUUUAUCGUGUCGAGCGAUAAGGAGUUUGAUUUUGUUUUUAUGAGCAGCGAAAGUUGUUAAUGAAACCAGAAGAAUCUGCUUUCAACCGCAGUAAGCGUUUAAGAGGUUAAUUGGUCAAGCUACAAAGGGCUC
rnacentral:misc_RNA from 1 species